AAAUGGAAUUGCUCUUCAUAAUGUAGGACAGGAGAAGUGGACAGUAAUUGCACCCAGGCUAGUGCACCAGGGGACCAUGGAGCCUGAGGAGGAUAUCUCGACCACAGACCCCCAAGAUCUGAUGUCCAGCCAAGGGCUACUGCCGUCAACAUCCACCUCCUUACUCAACUGCACCUUCCUGGGGGGGUUAUUGCAUUGUGAUGACAUGGACAAGGGUGAUGGAAAUGGAGAUUUAGAUGGUCCAAAAUGCUUUUUCCCCACACUGGAGCAUUGUGGUAAAGUACAGAGAAGUCCACGAUCUUCAGCCUUCCCCUCCUCUCUCACAUGGGACUCAGACUCGGAGAAAGAAACCUUGGACGAGGAAGAACUUCAGCACUUUUCUAACCCUCAUGGUCUGGCUGCUCACAGCCCAGGAAGUCCCACCUCUGGACAACAAGAAGACAGAUUUGACAUUGAUCUGUGCCAAGAACCUGUGGAAACCAAGCACUAUUUCUUGAGAAGAUCCCACCUACCUCCCUGGAGGUGAAGAAUCAAGGAGAUGUUACAUACAAGGAGAUGAAACUACAGACUCCAGCCUACCUAAACGUACAGCAAAACAUAAAAAAAGCUUAAAGUACCUCAACGCAUGUUUUGAUUGUCAAUAACAUCCUGUCAUAUAAAAAAAUAAAAUAAAAAUAAAAAUUAGUUAUAUCAAUAAAGACUUUUGCUGUUUACUUGCAGUGGACCAAGACAAAGUGAGCCAUCUACCAGAUACUACACCAGAAGAGGGAUGCCAAAAAG
rnacentral:lncRNA from 1 species